UGGGGAAUUUUGGACAAUGGGCGAAAGCCUGAUCCAGCAAUGCCGCGUGUGUGAAGAAGGCCUUCGGGUUGUAAAGCACUUUUGUCCGGAAAGAAAUCCUUGGCUCUAAUACAGUCGGGGGAUGACGGUACCGGAAGAAUAAGCACCGGCUAACUACGUGCCAGCAGCCGCGGUAAUACGUAGGGUGCAAGCGUUAAUCGGAAUUACUGGGCGUAAAGCGUGCGCAGGCGGUUUGCUAAGACCGAUGUGAAAUCCCCGGGCUAACCUGGGAACUGCAUUGGUGACUGGCAGGCUAGAGUAUGGCAGAGGGGGGUAGAAUUCCACGUGUAGCAGUGAAAAUGCGUAGAGAUGUGGAGGAAUACCGAUGGCGAAAGGCAGCCCCCUGGGCCAAUACUGACGCUCAUGCACGAAAGCGUGGGGAGCAAAACAGGAUUAGAUACCCUGGUAGUCCACGCCCUAAACGAUGUCAACUAGUUGUUGGGGAUUCAUUUCCUUAGUAACGUAGCUAACGCGUGAAGUUGACCGCCUGGGGAGUACGGUCGCAAGAUUAAAAA
rnacentral:rRNA from 1 species